GAGAGAAGAUUAGCAUGGCCCCUGCGCAAGGAUGAAAUGCAAAUUUGUGAACUGCAUGACAUCUUA
ensembl:snRNA U6 U6 spliceosomal RNA